rnacentral:lncRNA from 1 species
UUUUUUUUUUUUUUUUUGUUAAAGAAGGGAAUACUUUCGGUUGCAACCAAAAAAGAAAGAACGGAAGAAAGAAACGUUUCCUUUUAUUUAUUAUUAUAUUAUAAUACUCACUUCUGUUCAGAAUUCCAGGUGUAUGGAAGUGACAAAAUGAUUGGGAAUCAACAUUCAACCCCAUACGCUUCGGCACCCGUUCCAAGACGGAUCUGAUGCCAGUGCAGCCGCCAACAAACCAUCUUACUACUGUAUCAGUGAGUUCGUUAAGCACAGGUUGACAAACCUGGAUGGGCGCUAAACUGAACACCUCAACAUGUGUGAUCUAGAAAACCUGUUUGGAUCACCUAGCACUAGUUGUUAGAUUCUAGACUACGUGGAUCACCUAUAUGAGUACGUGACUUGAGUCACUGUUAGUUUACAAGUUGCUGGAACUAACUGUUCGAUGCAUAAAGUUUAGAUGACUAAAGCUCGAUCCUAUGAUAUUUGAGUACAUUACAUAGUAUAGUUAUUAGAGCAUUUUCACCGGUUCUCCAUUAAUCAUCUAUCCCUAAUAUGUAUGUAUUGACUAGUCUGUUAUUAUAUUUGUAAAUAUUAGGAGAGUUGUUGCAUCAGCAUCCUAAUACAUUUUUUUCUAAUACUCGUAUAGAAGGUAGGUCUCAUAGGAGUAUAGUAAAAAGAUGACUGUAUUUGAGGUGGUUUCCAUGAUAUAAAAAAAUGGUAUUGCAAAAUUGUUGGAGCAAAAAAAAGCAUAGUUAUCCCUAAAAUAACAAUUUUAUGUGAAUAGUAAGAGGUAUUAAAAAACAGUUGAAGAUGCUUUUAGUCCACUUUAACUCCUCGGCCUGUUUGGAUCCAUUAGCAAUAAAAAUUAUCAUCUAAAAUUAGUACUAGCGGACCAAAUAGAUCUGCUAAGAGCAGCUCUAAAAGAUUGGCUAAAACUAUUAACCAAAUCUUAUUUUUUAGUUAUUUUGUAAAAUAGAAAACUUCUUAAAAAAAGAAGACGUCCCCAACACCCUUGCUAAUUUACGAAGUCACAUAGCGAGUGCCCGUGGUUGGCUAUAUAUAGCCACCGAAAAUUAAAGAAUAGCUAGCUUCCUAUUUUACAAAGUUAGCUGUUGGAGUCUGGUUUUUGCUAUACAAAAUUCUAAAAUAGCCUACACGGCAAAAAUAGCUAAGUUGUUGGAGUUGCUCAACUUGCUAAUUAUGGUGAAGGGCUACUAACAGUUAGUUCUAUUAGUAGGUUUAGAAUUGCUAAUAUGUGCUAAUAGUUCAUAUAUACCUUGAACUUACUCUCUAACCACAUAUUAGCAGGUGGAUUCAAACAAUCUCUUCCUAAUUAAGAAUUAGGUAAUGGAUAAAACAGGCCAUAACUGCUGUAUUAGCUGUCAGUUAUGAUGUGAACUACUCCCUCCAUCCCAAAUUGUAAGUCAUUCCAAGAAUCUUGGAGAGUCAAACUUUUGUAAUUUAACCAAAUUUAUAUGAUAAAAUAAUUAUUAUUAUGAUACUAACUAAGUAUCAUUAUAUUCUUCCUUAAUUAUAUUUUCAUAGUAUACUCACUUUACGUUACAAAUCUUAGUAUUUUUCUCUAUAAUUUUGGUCAAACGUGAAAAUGCUUUGACUCUCCAAGAUUCUUGUAAUGACUUACAAUUUGGGAUGUAGGGAGUAUCUGUUAGGGCACUCAUAAUGCAGACUUUAUCAUAGAGUCUAAAGUUAUUUAUUACCUCGAACAAUGUGGACUUAGAGUCUAAAUAAGACUUGGAGUCUUAUUUUUUCUACAUCUUUCUUCAAUAAAUAUGCUGCCACAUCAGCAAAAUACCAUAAAUAAUAUGUAAUUAAUUGUCUUGGACUCUAUAAUAGAGUCUUGCAUUGUGAGUGGCCUUAGUACACAUUUGGAUGGACUAGCGGUUUAGUCCUGGUAAUCAAACACGUCUGGCAGAAAAACCGAACGGACAUCAAGUCACCAAGUGCAGCACAAGACCUUCGGAGAUUGGAACAAAAGAUCUCUCCGCGCUGGAACCCGGAACCAGCAUCCGUGUGGUGUGGCUGCGACGCCGCGACCACCCAGCGCACACACGCCACUCCGAUUGCAACGCCGGAAAAUGACAGCAGACCGGAAGAAUAAUCGUGUGGCCGGACAUGGCCCUCACCGCUAUUAGAUUUCCACUGGGCUUGGGCCAGCCAGACUCAGACGCAAGCGAGCUCCCUGAACCACAAGCACACCCUCCAAAUUGCAAACUGAACGAAACGGAGGCACAACUAGUGUCGACUCUCUCUUUCCUUCUGAGAUCUUCUGAAUCAAAUUUCUGCGUCGUCACUGCUGCGAGAUUCAGGCCACGUAAACUCUUUCUUGUUUAGAGAGAGAGAAAGAAAGAGAGAAGAUUCAGAUUACAUGAGUGCAUGACGACCACAAAUACGCGGCUGUUACUUGAACGCUUACAGCACAUCGUGUUCUGCAACGGCGCAGCCAUCUACGGAUAAGCUUUGUGACGCCAAAACCGUGCCGUAGCAGGAAAACCACGCAGGCCGCCUCGCGGAAAACGCUCUCGUCGCUCGAAUUUCCGCGCUGACCUACACACGCGCCUGCACAGCACAGCACAGCACAGCUUGACAAGAAAAACUCGGCACCCUCGAAUUCAGAAAAAGAGGGAAAGGGAGGGAAAACAUCGCCUGCGCCACUAGAAAACCAGUGGUGGCAGACGAGCCGGGGGGAACGUGCGGCGGGGGAGGAGCAGGGCACACGACGGGGGUCGCCGUCGCCGUCGCGGUAGCGGGGCCGAGUCGUGCUCGUGCCGCGCGCCCGCCAGCGCGCGAUCAAAUUCUUGGAGGUGGAGGCGCGUCUGCGGCUGCGGUGGGUAGGAGGAGCGGUGGUCCAGGUGACGAAAAGGAUCGAUCGGAUCGCUCCGAGAUGGCGCAAGUGGCCCGACCGGUCCUGCUUUCUCGGCUGCAGCCAGGUCAGGGCGGGGAAGAUGGUCGUGGCCGGCCAUGGAUGCUCCACCGCUCUCCGGCCAGCCGGCGUCAGGGUGGUCCCCACCCGGGGAGAUUAACGGCUUACAGCUUUGCUUUCCUGGAUUCUCUUCCUAUCCAGAUAUCCUAUCCUUAUGGGGGGGUGACUGUGACGACGUGUCGAUGUUGAGAACAGUUUCGCGGCUUCCGAGUCCUCAGUCACUAGGAUCGAUUGUCGUCUUAGUCAGCAGACGGAUUUGCACAAUCGUUUUCGGCACUUGCCGUAGAUCCAUUAUUGCUAUUGUGUGGACUCGAACAUCAGGAGAGAUGGAAUUUUGUGGUCGUACUGAAACACUGGGCAUCAGCUGAGCCUGGAUUCGUAAGAACAACAUGUUGAAAAUAUCAUAGCAUCAGGCCUGAAAUAUCAAGCCAGUUGCAGACAAUCCAUUUCAAAGCCGAGCUACUGCAACAACCAAACACAAGUGGUCCUUACAAGGAGCAGUUAACAGACUCUCCUUGACAGUUUCAUGGGAGAAAAUUAUUGGCCGACCGGGAUUCAGCGAGCUAAAUUAAGACCGACACGCAUCAUGCUAAAAAGAUACAACAGCCGCCGUCGGAGUCAGACAUCCAGGUUAAGUAAUCGUCAAGUGCACCAGUCAGUGUAUCCGAAUUCUGGGAUCUCAAGGCGAGAUCGUCACGGAACGGAAUGCUAUAAAUGGAGCUGCCGCUUGGUGGGAGCACUGCUGAAACAUCACCUUCCUUGUCUGCACAGUUCGUCAGAAGACAUUUGUUUAUCAAGUGAUGGGUGCAAAGCAAACAUGACUAGUAGAAUAGAAUGGCAUAUGCCGUGUAUGGUCCUUUAAUCAGCGAGAGUGAAAAUGAAGUAGCACUAGUGAGCAGAAGGAUAAGUACACGUACCUUCUGGUUGAGCGCGUGGCGCGUCUAACUGGACCACUGACUGCUGAGUCCUCUACAACGGGAUCUCUGGUUUUCUUUGCCCUUGACCGUGACGCCCCUGCAUAAUACAUGAAAGAUGAGUUCCUUAAGAAACUUGAUGUGUUCGUGUUGUGUGGAUAUCAUGGCUGGAAUCAUGAGUCACCUUUGCGAACAGAUUGUGUGGACUGAAUCUCCUCAUCGCCACCUUCUGAUCCUGUAAGUGGGGCUGAUGUCUGAGAAUUCUCUGUGCUAGUAUUCGCACUGUGUUCUGGUGUGUUCUCCUUAUUUUCGGUGCUGCUAUCCACCGAAGGAUCUGCAACCGGAUCUCUGGUUUUCUUUGCCCUUAACUGUGACACGCCUGCAUCAUACAUGAAAGAUGAGUUCCUUAAGAAACUUGACGUGUUCGUGUUGUGUGGAUGUCAAAGCUAGAAUCAUGAGUCACCUUUGCGAACAGUUUGUGUUGAUUGAAUCUCUCCAGCGCCACCCGAUUCUGUAGCUUGGGGUGAUGUCUGAAAAUUCUCCGUACUAGUAUGGUCACUGCAUUCUGGUGUGUUCUCCUUAUGUUCGGUGCUGCUAUCCACCGAAGGAUCAACUACCUCGCUAGUUUCUUCUGCCACGGACACAUAAAUAGACAGGUCAGACCAUCCAUGCAAGAGAAACAGUGAUACUACCCUCUAGUGCACAGAACAUAAACAGCUAUAUAGCCUCACAUGGUCGAUUAUAGCAGUUAUAUAGCAUAGAGGAUAAGGAGCAUCAGGAGGAAAUGAGAACUCUUCUACUUACCUUCAGUAGAAUUCCCACUGUUCUGACUAACUUCCUUAGUAGCCAGAAAUUCAUCAAGUGAGCCAAUUCUCUGUCUGUGUGCCUCAGCAUUUUUGGUUGUUUCCUCCUGUUCUUUCUUUUCCUGAUGAACCUUGCUAAGUUUCUCCUCAAAUUCCUCAAUGCAAACUUUUAGCUCAGGUUUCGCAAACUUCUUGCACUGAUUGGUGGAAUCACCAUAGAUAAGUGAAAAAAAAAGAUUGUUCAUAAAUUUAGUGAUGCUUUAUUAAACCAAACUGAAGCCUACACAAACAUCAAGGCUAUGCUACCAACCUUUGAUAUUACGCUUCUGAAGUGGUUCAUCACAGAAUCUUCAGACAAUGCAUGCUCAAACAUCUUAAAAUUAUCGAUGAGUUUUUUCAGGCCCUUUUCAGUGAAGGUUAGCUGAGAAAGGCAAUAAGAGAUAUACUCCCACUGUCUGACAUCUGAAACACAUGCAAAGAAAGAGUCAGGUGUCUGAGAAAUGUUAAAAUGCAUGUCUUACAGCAUAAUUGUCUCGAGAAAACAAAGAAUUAAAUGGCUGAAACAAAGAAAUGAGUGUUAUAUAUAGCUAAAAUGUAGACAUCAAUCACGGGUGCAAGAGUGUCGAAAAAGAGCAACUUGAUCUCAUCUUAUUUCUUAUAUGUGCAAUGAUCUCUCCUUUCUAUUUUACAUAAUGCGGUAAUGUUUCACUCCUAUGCUGUUGCAAAUUUCUUACUCUUACCACCUUUUUGUUCACAAUAAAUUGCCACUUCCUCAACACUGAGGCAGGCUCUUACCCUAAGUAACUUAUUAACAUUAAGUACAAGCACCCACUUAGCUAGGUAUCAAACCAACUUUAUGCAAAUCAUGACUUCCUUAGUAUGCAUGCUGGUCAAAUGUGACAAGUACUAGCAAACAGAUGGGGUACUAUUUAUCCUAUUGAAGGCAUAAGCAUAGUACCAUUUACUCCAGCAAACCUAUUGCACAGCUUAUCCACAAGAGCUUCCAUUUGUUUGUCCUGGGAUCACAAUUGCAACAGUAUAUAGUUACUAACAAGUAAUGUGGAGUAUGCACAACAUGCAAAUGAGUGAAGCAUUAAACAUUAUACCUUCUUAAUUGAAUUAAUUAAGAACUGCAUAAUAUUGCAAAAGGUUUCUUCUUUCAGGUGUUGAUUGCACAGUCUACCCAAGAUAUCCGGAAGAAGAUUAUAAAUUGGGUUGCUUCCUUCAAAGGCCACCAAUAAAAAAGAAGCAAAUUUGUUAGAUAUAGAAGAGAAACUCUAGCAUUCAAGUUAGUCAACCAAUGUUUCUGACACAUGUUUCCAUACCUUUUUUUGACAACUCAUGAAAGAAGAGUUUGGCCAGGCUUGAUAUCCUCUCAUCUUCAUCUUCUAUUCUUACAGCCAUUUCAUUUAUAUACCCUUUAACCUACAAAAGAUUUUCAAAGUGACUGAAAAGUAACAUAAUGGUGGGAUGGAGAGGAGGAGGAGGAGGAGGAGGAGGAGGAGGGGAGAGAGAGAGAGAGAGAGACCUUCAUCAUAUCAUUCAAUAUAAGAUGAGAAAUGACCAGCACAGCGUUCUUCCUCACUGACACUGAAGGAUCACGUAACCGGGCAUAUAUAUACUCUGUCCAAGGUUCUAAGAGGUUUGGGAAGCGAACUGCUAAAUCACCAAGCGCUAUAGUGCAGUUGGAUCGGACAAUUUCAGAAGGUGCACUUUCAGCAACAGUAAACAAGAUUUGAAGAUUUGCUUCGCUGAAAGUUGAGUGUUAAUGUGAGGGAGUGCUUUCAUGAAAUGCUCAUUGGUCCACAAUAAUGAACAACUAGAGUCAUGCGAAAGAAAAAAAAACUUACCAGAACUCUGCAUCAAUGAUCAUUAGCCUGCAAAGAGCAAGCAUUGCAGAAGCUUGUAGGUCUGGGAACUAGAUUCAAAAGAGAAGAAAUUAGUAACUGUAGAUAGUAACAAGAAAAAAUGUUUAAAUGGAAUACAGGAAGCCCAGUUGACUAUAAACCUUUUGCAGCAAUGUAAGAUUCCUGCAGAGUUUUGAGAGAAAUGGCCCACAAUGUCCUAUGAGAUUCUUUUUAGAAGAACAGCAAACAAUUUCCUUUUCUGCUCUUUCAGCAAGGGACUCGAUUGCAAUAUCUAUGGUUGCACCAAGUCCCAGUUCGGCAUUUAUGCCUUGUGCCUGUUACACAAUAAAGCACAACCUGAACUUAACUGAAACAAUGACAAGUGAAAAGUGACAAGUUCAGAAAGGACAGAGAUUUAGCACUCAAGCCAGAAUUACCUCCGUACUUUUAGACACGUCAGACUGGAGAUCCACAGUGGACUGAGAUUUUUCAUUCUUCCGUAUCUGUUUCUGAACUUUCCUAACAGAAUUCUCAAUGUACACCAAAUGAUUUAGUGCUAUAUGGCUAAUAACAAAAAGAAAUCUACCCAGCUUUGAAGGUGAUACUGAUGACAGAGAGGCAUCAUUCUCAGUUUCAAUUCCAUUUGACACAUCCUCGUUUCCUAAAACACUGAAUACAGAACUGAGGGACUUCUUUGCAGUCUCAGUAGCAAAAAUUUCAGGAGCAGGGUGUAGGGUGUAGAUGGUGCUUAUAGCUUUAUCUGCAGCUCCAUACCAUAUUUUCUCAGGAAUUGAGAAGCUUGUUACCAAACCUUGCAAUGCAGCAAAUACUCUACUACUAGUAUUUAUCAGUUUGCCCUUGUCUUCAUCUGAUAAUCUCUGCAAAGCAAGACAUGCAGUUCUAGCAAGCAGAGGCUCCUCCUUAGCCCAGCGUCCAAACCCAAUGUCAAUAAUAUCUUGCAAGUGAGCACCCAAAAUGCUGGGAGACGACUUAGCAGCCAUACAAAGAAUUGAUAGAGCUCCACGGCUUUGCACUGGUCUGACUCCGUUUAUGUUAAAGCAAAAAUAGUCCCACAGUGCUGAUACCUGCAAGAAGCAACAGGUCAUAGAAAAUAUCCUCAGAAGCAACAUAAGAUAUCACCAAACUGAAGUAAUUUAAUCCAAAAAAAUGGUUAUAUUUGGGAAGAAGCUAUAUAUGACUGCAGUAAUCGAAGAAAGAAAGACAACAAAUCAGUAGACAUGGAAAAAUUCCAAUUUCUUCUGUAAUCCCAAUUCAUAUAUAUAGAGGUCAAUAAUUAGGAUCUUGAAGAAGCAAGCAUCUUAAUUGCUCCAAUCUGUAAAACUCAGGUGCUCAGUCAGUUUCAAAUGUGUUGCCACAUUUAUUUAUUCUUUACAACUGAAUUAUAUUUUAAUCACUGAACUGCUCAGUUACUUUAGCUGGAACUAACAAAUAAUCACAUUCAAAGUGGUAGCCAAAGCAAAUUGAUAGGGAAGAAGGGUGCACCGUGCUGGAUGAAAUUUCUGCUUUUGAAACUAAGGAACUAACUAAGCUCUCGAGAGCAGCGAGGUCACCAAUGCUACAAUCAAUGGCAAGGUCUAACAAACGUUUCGCCGUUUCUGUUGGGCUUUUCCUUGUGUAUAAAGUAAUGAAUGCACUCUCCACUGCUUCAUAUAUUGACUUAUCCUGAGAAAAUACCUGAAAAAUACAAAGGAUCAAGGAAUAUUAACAAAUAACAAAUACAUAACAAGCACAAAAACCAGAGAGUUUUUGGGAUAUUACCAGAGGUAACAUUUUCCUGAGAGCUGCUUCUGAUCCUUCGAUCUGAAAUUGUCUGCAUCUCAUCAGUAAAAGGAUGGUGUUCUCAACAUCAGUAGCUGAGGAUGAUGCCAACAACUGAACAAGAAUUGGCAUUAACGAAGUUAUACACUUUGAAAACCGCAGACCAGCUUCAAGUGAUGCAACUAAAGCUCUUAUUUGUUCCAAAUUUGUUAUAUCCACAAUCGUAGCAUCAUGAUCAUUCUGAUCCUGACUUGAUGCUAAACAGCUAUCACUGACACUUUCAUCUUGCCCCAGGAUCACUUCACCAGGCGAACAAUCGUUUGCAACCUCAUCUUUGUCUGGAUUUGAGGGCUCCAUUCCUUGUAAUUUUUCCUUGUACUUUUCUAGAGUUGCCUCAAAGGUUGCAGUCCUUAACUGAGGUCCAAAAGGGUUGUGUUGCAGCAUUGUGAUGAGAAGCUGUAGUGCUGAUUUUCUCACAAUAGCACUUUUGUCCUCCAGUCUCCCUGAAGCAACUGAAGCCACUUCAUUCCACAGGCCAAUUGAGAUAGAAUUUUCUUCACAAAGCUCAGACCACACCUGAAGCACACGACUCCUUGUGUAUGCUGACACAUCCCUACAGCGCUCAAUCAAAAUCUCUAGCAUAGCCUGCUUACUUCGAAGCCGAGCAUUGCUAUCACCCUCAACAUCCUUGAAAGCCUUUGCAGCCAGCUUUCCCAAAACUCCAACAAGAGCAUUUCUGAUCUUAUAUGACUCACCACCAAAGUGAGGUAUCAAAACACCAAUGUUGGUUGACAUAAGCUUUGGCAAGCGGUCUGCAAGUUCUACAAGGAAUCUCCCAACAUUAUCAGCACCAACACUAUCUCUUGCGUAUUCUUUUGGGUCAGCCCGACCUAUUUCCCUAACCAGGGAAAUUGCGAGGCUUCCGUCACCAAACUUUUUCUCUGCGGAAGCAACUGCUUCUGCAAGAUGAGGAACAGUGAAAUCAAAUUUGUGGAUCAGAUGCGAGACAGAUGCACUGAUUUGAGAAACUCUCUGAUGCUUUGUGGCAAUUGCUCCAAUUAUCCGGCACAGACCAUUUCUUGUAUCCUCAUCUUUUAACACAUUCUGAUUUUCACAGAGGACAAAAGUACACCUACAUGUUAUGAAAGUGAUGUCAUUCCAAAAAAAAAAGGUGGGUUACUGGAAAGUACUGUAGUCAGUUCCAGAACUUACUUUGAAACGAAAGAGAGAUAUCGUUCAUCAGUUCCUCCAGGACCAAAAAGCAGUGAAAGGUCAGCUUCAAGAGAAUUGGCAACUAGACUCAUGAUCCUGCCUCUUUGAGCUUCCCAAUUCCAAGCAUAUACAUGAUUCUUCUUUCGACCGUGUGCUGUCACCUAAGUUCUCAUGAAAAAAUGAAGUCAACUCAAAAAACAAGAGCAUAAAUAAUCUUUAGGAUAAUUGUAUCUUCUGCAGAAAAGUCACCUUAGCCCCUGUGCCGCUUUCAGCAGCAGAUUCCUCUGUGAGAACAAUAGAAAUGAUAAAGAAGGAGUAGAUCUUGAGGGCAUUGCGGUGUGAGGCAAUGCGAUCAGUGAUCGGGGUAGUAUCAGAAGGGGAUGACAUGGAUGCCCGGGAAAGUGAGUCUAUGUUGGGUAGAAGGACACUGAGGUUGGAGCGCAAGGUCUCAACAAUGUUAAACUUAAGGGCUGGGGGUAAGCAAUUGAAAUCACGAACAAUAGAAUAGAUGGCAUCGAACACCUCCUGUUCCUCAAUGCAGAAGAGCUCCUUAUCAGAAAGAUCAAAUGAUGCACCUUCAGUUUGAAUCAGAAUAAGAAAAAUAGUCAGUUCACUUAACAAGAUCUUUCAUUCAAAAAAUAAAGCACCAAAACUAGCUAGAUCUCUAAUUUUUUUAAUAAUAACUUUCUAAUUGCACGUUGCCACAGGUUAGAACAGCCAACACUGUCAAUAGUAAGACUGUAGCAUGAAAAAUUGAAAAAUAAGGGGAAAGGUCUAUUCCCAUCAAGCAAUUGCUAAUAUUUUGUUUUGAUGGAACAGUGAUUGCUAAUAUUACAGAGACGACAAUGGAGAAUAAAGAUUUAUGAAUAAUUAAAAUAGCAGGGUUAUGUAGGGCCACUGAGGCAAAACUUAUAAUAGCUUGUUGGCUUCUCGCACCCACCUUUUCUGAAAUCAGAUCAAGUUUCUUAACCCAGCCAUGUUUAGUGCGGUAAGAUACUAAAGCAACUGCAAGACUUCCGAUUUCAAAAUUGGUUGCAAGCAAGCUCAGACGCUUCUGUGGAAGCGAACGCGAGCAUUUGUCUGCAAACUCAUGUAUUUACAUGCACGCACCGAAUUGCUUGAGAGAGAGAAAAAAAUAGGGAUGCCAGGUUGCCAGCUACAUCCAAAUCAGAAGCUCCGACUAGCUACUGUUCAACAAAACCCUAUUCUAGUGGAUUUUAACCAAGUGACGAUCAAAACCUGAAUCCAAAACUAGGAAUUCUUAACGACUGGUACAACUCGACCAAACAACGAACCCAGCGGCGGCUGGGAGAUGGCGGCACGUACCCUUGACGAACUCCUCGAGGUCGGCGGCGCGGAGGGUGGCGACGGCGACGGGAUUCUGCGGCCGGAGCGAGGGCUCCUCGUCUCCGUCGCCGUCGGUGUCCCGCUCCAGAUCCCGCAGGCUCGACGGGAACACGAACGGCGGGGCCAUCUGGCCGCGGGAGGACGCCGGCGAGCGGAGGAUGGGGAGGGGGAGGCGGAGGGGUUUGGGCUGGGGAGUGGGGAAUGGGAGGGGAAGAGUGGCGAGUGUUUCGAAAUCGAGAGCGGGAGCCGUGAGAUUUCGUGAGGUUGUCCUGACUGUACAAAGGGCCCACGCGUCGUCGCGUGUGAAGGUGGCACCGGUGGUUUGAUUCGAACCGUUUGAAUAGGCGGGGCUAGGGCCUCGUUUAGUUUCGAAAAUUUUUGAGAAAUUGAUAUUGUAGCACUUUCGUUUGUAUUUGACAAAUAUGAUCUAAUUAUGGAUUAACUAGGCUCAAAAGAUUCGUCUCGUCAAUUCCGACCAAACUGUGCAAUUAGUUUUUAUUUUCGUCUAUAUUUAAUACUUCAUACAUACGUCUAAAGAUUCGAUAUGACGGAGAAUAUGAAAAAUUUUGCAAAAUUUCCAGAGAACUAAACAAGGCCUAGCUCGUGACCUCGUGUUGACUGUUUUUCUUUUCUUUUCUUUUUGAUAAAUGAGAUCUUGUUUAGUUCCGAAAAGUGAAAAGUUUUCGGUACUGUAGCACUUUUGUUUGUUUGUGACAAAUAUUAUCCAAUCAUGGACUAACUAGGAUCAAAAGAUUCGUCUCGUGAUUUACAGCUAAACUGUGUAAUUAGUUUUUGUUUUCGUCUAUAUUUAAUGUUUCAUGCAUGUGCCACAAGAUUCGAUGUGACGGAAAAUCUUAAAAACUUUUUAGUUUUCAGGGUGAACUAAACGAGGCCUGAGUUCGUGUUAACUGUUGAGUAAAACCCACUGCUAGAUCGAUCAAAUAACUAAAAUAUUCCCGUUUUCACAAUAGACUACAAUUGCUCUUAUGCAACUAGGCCCUGUUUGGUUCUCAAAAAUUUUACAAUUUUUUUAAAAGAUUCUUUGUCACAUCGAAUUUUGCGGCACAUACAUGAAGCAUUAAAUAUAGAUAAAAAAUAACUAAUUGCACAGUUAUCUAUAAUUUGUGGUAUAAAUUUUUCGAGUCUAAUAAGUCCACGAUUGAAUAAUAAUUAUCAAAUAUAAACGAAACUACGAAAGUGUUAUAAUAGCCAUACUUCUUCUCUAAAACCCAAAAUUUUUCAAGAUUUCUCGUCACAUCAAAUCUUUAGACACAUGCAUAGAGUAUUAAAUAUAGAUAAAAUUAAAAUCUAAUUGUACAUUUUAUCUAUAAUUUGCAAGACGAAUUUUUUAAGCCUAAUUAGUCCAUAAUUAGACAAUAUUUAUUAAAUACGGAGUACAAAUGAAAAUAUUACAUUGUUUAAAAAAAAAAUCGUUGUGGAACUAAACACGCGGGAGGUGGCAAGGUUAGCUGGGCGUGUGCUCCAGCACAGGUGUAUGCGAGCUGUGGUCUCACGCCUCGUUUAGUUCAUCCAAAAAUUAAAAAAAAAAUUAAGAUUCUCCGUCACAUCGAAUUUUGGGACACAUACAUGAAGUAUUAAAUAUAGAUAAAAACAAAAACUAAUUGUACAAUAUACCUAUAAAUUAUGAGAUAAAUUUUUUGGUCUAAAUAGUCCAUAAUUGAAUAAUAUUUAUUAAAUAAAAAUGAUUUUUCGGAACUAAACAAGGCCUCGGACAAAAGCAUCGAUGGGGCUACGGUACACAAUUGAUUCUUCCAACCCAGACAUACAGUACCAUCUUUUCAUGGUCUAAUCGUUUGUAACUUUAACUUUUGUCAUAAUUUUUAUGUGCUUGCUCUCUCCCAACGCGCUCCAAGGUGUGUGCUUCAUUUUUUGUCAACCGAAGCUAUCGCAGCUCCUCCAGGAUCUGAUCGCAAAAGAAGGCUCUUGCAGGAACCUCUAAGGGCUUCUGCAACGGAAGUUAAUAGAGGUGUUGGUCUCAGGGAAAAGAGAAAGACCACGUAGAUUAAAAAAGUAUGAGACUGUAUUUUCUCCAACGCAAACUAUCAUAGUCGUACAGACGACGUUAGUGUUGUCAGCUGUGUUCAAGAGCGUAAAUCAGAGUGAGCCAGUGACUUUUCUCUUGCUGGUUAACCUCCAACGCGCUCCUCGUUGGGUGCUCUGUCUUUUCGUCAGGUGAAGCACUCGGCUCCUCUGCAGGCUAACAUGACACACUGCGGAGCAGCACUUCGACUCAACGUGGCCUUCAAAUGCGGACGUUGAGUCUGGAACCACCCGCCACCUUGGCGCGUUGGGGCUGGCCUAAGACCAGUAUCAGUUGAGGUUUCACCAGGAUGUCAUGUACAUUUAUUAAAGCGACAUGUCAGCAAAACUGCACUUUUUGCAUAAAAUGAAGAGGAGAGAGAAGGAAGUAGUUUCACUAUGGUGAAACUCUGGGCGUUGUUUCCCACGCGGUGAAACGGGAUGAAAUUCCCACUGAAGGCCACAUCGUUUCACCAUCUUGCAUGUGAUCCAAUCAUUUUGCAGCAAUUAAAUGCUUUGCUUAGCCUUGGGAACAACAAAGUGAAAUGCUUCAUUGCUGGGGUUAUUUCAUAGAUGGUUUCAUUUCAAUCUUGAUAACGUGUUGGUAUGUGAAACCGUGCAGUGACACCGUCCAUUGAGACUGCGUAGUUUCAUGACACAGUUAUCAAGACUAUAAACUAGGUAACCGAGCCACAUUAGUUUUAUGGGGAUGAAACACCUCUCUCAUCAUAUGAAACUCCUUCAUUUAAUGACUCUGCCAAGUCAGCAAUUUUGCUUAUGUGUCAUUAUAUUUAAUAUGAAAGACACUUUCAUAAAACAUGCAUUGAGACUGACCUAACAGUCUACGAAGCCAGGGGCGGAUCCCAAGGGGGGCUGGGUUGGCUCCACUGCCCAUUAAGUUACUGUUAAUUAGCCUUAAAUUCUUAUUAAUCCUUAGCUUUAAUUCUAAAUAUUUACUAGUUAGCUUCUCCUUUGAUCUCAUCCUGGAUCCGCCACUGUACGAAGCAUACAUCCGUGAUGAUUUGAACGCCAAAUAUUGACACGGAGGAUGGAGCUAAUGUACACGUUGUAGCGCUGGGGUGGCCUAAGACGAUAUGAUAUGAGAGAGAAGCAUGUCUCUUUUGAGCAUCCACAUUCAUUCCGCAUGAGGUCCAAGGCACUCAACUUUUAUAUUAUUUGCUUAUUUUUUAGCCCAAUUACCAUAAUACUCCCUCAGUCUCAUAAUAGAUGAGAAAGAUAUAUGUCUUUGGAUUCAUUGAUGGCGCUCACCUUGUCUUGCUAAGCAAAGUUUACAAGGUUUAGUUCCUUUAUUUACUCCAUUUACCAUUGUUUGGUCAAGAGAACCAAUUUGGCUCACCUUUGUUGGCGAGGUUAGCUUUGUGUCGACGAAAGCUAGUCGGCAGUCUACCUUGGGGUAUACCCACGGUAGUAGUUUAUCGGUAGACGGUGCGCAAACUACGAACUCGAUGGUGACGCAAGACACGGACAAGCUUUUUAUCCAGGUUCGGCCGCCGAGUUGGCGUAAUACCUACGUCCUGCGUCUGGUUGUAUUGAUUUGUGUUGAGAGAAUAUGAUGUAUGACUUGUCCUCUAGGGGACCCCUGCCCCUCCUUAUAUAUUCUGAAGGGACAGAGUUACAAGCAAAGUAUCCUAUUUGGUACAAAAUCUUGUAGCCUUGCGGUGCACGCCGACCAGUCGUGCGCCGCACGUCUUCAUCUUGUGGGCCGAGCCACCUCUGAUGGUGCGGCCCAUAUAGGCCCAUGAGGGUAUAGGGGUUUAUACCCCCACAGCUAGUCCCCGAGCACCAUGUAUUGUGAUGUAACACGCCGUCUUGAGCUUCUUCGAUCAGCGAGGCUUGACGUCUUCAAUAAACAGGAAAGUCGCCCAAACAGUUGCAACGGUAUUUUGACCAACUCAAAAGACAGUUGAUCAACAUUGACAUCGAAGAAGCAGGUUGUUCGAAGAAUGCAUGGUGCUCUUAAUUAAAAAAGAUUUCUUUCCUGGUGAAGUGUGCCCACUUUACUUUUCUGAAAAGUAUAGUCUUUCAAAAAGCAAGCAUAUUCACCGCAAGGUGAAGUGUGCCCACUUAGUCCCCGAGCCUGGUAGUAGGUGACGUAGGCACGUGGUGCCAGGGUCAAAAGAAAAGUCCUCAAAGAAAUUCUGAAACUGAGAUGUAUCGCCAGAUGCAUUGUACCGAUGUAGUCCCCGAGCUUGCUGGAAGGCGAAGUAUGAGCCUUGUAGCAAGGUUUAAAAAGUUGAAUUUACCAGUCCCCGAGCAUAUCAUGCUCGUAUGCAAUUGAAUAGACUAAUCGACCAGUCCCCGAGCAUAGAACGCUCGGUGGUCGGUACAGUCCCCGAAUUCUCAAAUUGGUGGGCUGGUCGACCAGUCCCCGAGCGUGUAGUGCUCGGUGGUCGGUACAGUCCAAAAACUCUCAAAUUGGUGAGCUGAUCGAACAGUCCCCGAGCGUAUAGUGCUCGGUGGUCGGCAUAGUCCCCGAGCACGGCGUAGGGACCGGUGGACAAGUCCCCGAGCGUGGUUGGGAACGUAAACAUGCUCGGUGGUCGGCACAGUCUUCGAGCACAGCAUAGAGAGUAGUCGACAAGUCCCCGAGCGUGGUUGGGAACGUAAACGUGCUCGGUGGUCGGAGCAGUCCCCGGGCACAGCGUAGGGAAUAGUCGACGAGUCUCCAAGCGUAGCUUGUCGACUGGGCCAAACUCCUGAAAAAUAAAUAUAAAGAAUUGGUAGUACAUGAUGUAUAAAUAAACUUUAGAUAAAAAAUCAGUACUAAGAUAAGUUUUAGAUUUUUUGUUAUAAAAUUAGCACGAGUAGUUAAUUCGUCCUAGAGCUUGUACCAGCUCUGGUUUAGCCAACAAUCAGCAUGAGGUGCGGAACCUAGACACGCGUGGGAUUGCCAGCCUCGCCAGAGAGCUACUGCCGACCACCCGGAACGCAGAGAGCGGAUCUCAUGCACGUGUAGGGAGGAGUCGGAGACAGUACCGGCUCUGGAAAACUCGUGUAGGAGAAAAAACUAGUCGGCUAAACAAAAAGUUGUUUUGAAGGAUAAUAAAAAAUAUUAUGCCAAAAAUAAAUAAAAUAUUAGAAUUGUACUUAUCUUUGGACGAAAGUCUGGUCGGGAGAGUUGCUUGACUUGUCGUGAUGGUGGUCGCGGCUGUCGUAGCGCCGUUCUUCGUGGCGAUUAUUAUUGCGACUCGUGGUCAGAGCAAGUAGGCCACACAACUUGGUCGAUAGCCUGAGCAGGUCGGUGUCGUCGAUCUGCCUCCCUUUGUAGCAGAGAAGCGGGUGACGCGUUGUCGGCGUGGUCGGAGACGUUGCUGGAGUAGUUGAAGUCGUAGCCAGCGUGGUUGAAGCCGCCGCCGACGUCGAUGAAGAAGUGGUUGGCGCAGAUCGGAUCUACACCUCCUCCGUGGUCGUGACGGUGAAGCUGUUGAAGCUGACGGUGAACGUGAAGUCGCCCGCCAUGGCCACGAAGUCGGGGAUAAUGACCAUCUCGUUCGUCGGGAGAGCUGUACGCACACCCCCUACCUGGCGCGCCACUGUCGACGAAAGCUAGUCGGCAGUCUACCUUGGGGUAUACCCACGGUAGUAGUUUAUCGGUAUACGGUGCGCAAACUACGAACUCGAUGGUGACGCAAGACACGGACAAGCUUUUUAUCCAGGUUCGGCCGCCGAGUUGGCGUAAUACCUACGUCCUGCGUCUGGUUGUAUUGAUUUGUGUUGAGAGAAUAUGAUGUAUGACUUGUCCUCUAGGGGACCCCUGCCCCUCCUUAUAUAUCCUGAAGGGACAGAGUUACAAGCAAAGUAUCCUAUUUGGUACAAAAUCUUGUAGCCUUGCGGUGCACGCCGACCAGUCGUGCGCCGCACGUCUUCAUCUUGUGGGCCGAGCCACCUCUGAUGGUGCGGCCUAUAUAGGCCCAUGAGGGUAUAGGGGUUUAUACCCCCACACUUUGUCAACAAGGAAACAAAGUUACCUAACUGAGAGAUCUAAACUUGCCAUAUAAGCAGAGAUGUAUUGUAAAAAGAUAAAUGUGUAUUGAAAAAGUGAAAACAACAACUAAUUUAGGACACACGUAAAAGGCCAGGGAAACAACGAAGGGAGUAAAAGGCCAGGGAAACAAGUAUCAUACGACGAAGGGAGUAUGGUAACGAGUGAUUUUUUUUAAUCAAAGGUUCUUUUUAAGGGAAUACACUGGCUUCGGCAAUAGGCAAGAUUGUAGUAGCAUAAUGAGCUACAGGAUCAGCUGAUUCUCGUGGGACAGAGACAUCAGCCCUAUAUUUUUUUAGUUUCAAUGGAUGGUUAUCUACAAGACAUAUUGGUCUUGCUUAGUCUAAAUUUUUUUCUUGUUUCCGGUUAUCCAGCUGGUUGACUGUAAGCCCCUUAGGUGAAACUUUGUAAUAAUUGAUCUGAUUCUAUCCAUAGAUAGAUGAAGCCGGAUAUGAACUAUCCAUUAUUAAAAAAACUAAUGAGGUGUGAUGUUAAGACCUAUUGUAUCCAUCUCAAUAGUCCCUUUUUUUACAAAAUCAAUAAAACCUUGAGCUCACCGAAUAAUAAAAAAGCACUAGUGUACCAAAUAAGUGUCAUUCAUUAAUUUGAGAUUUUUUUUAUAUUAAACCUAUCAAGAUACACGCAUUGAUAAUACUAUUUUUCUACUAAUUUAGUUAAACUUAAGAAAACAAUUGAUUUAGUGGAACCAAAUAUUACACUUAUGUAAGAUGUUAAUGUUUUUUUUUGUAUAAAAGCAAUGUUUAUCUGUGUAAAAAAACACUUUUUUCUCAGGAACAUAGCACAUUUGCGCUAUAGACUACAGUAUUGCACCGAAACUCUAAGGCCUUGUUUGGUUCAUGCCGAUAAAUUUUAUUGUCUAUCACAUUAAAUGUUUGAACACAUAUAUGAAAUAUUAAAUAUAAGACUAUUUACAAAACUUAAAACGCAACUAAAGAAUAAUUUGCGAGACGAAUCUUUUGAGCGUAAUUAGUCUAUGAUUGGUUACUAUUACCAAAUAAACAAAAAUGUUACAAUACUUAUUAAACUUUAACACUACCAACAAAACAUCCCUUAAAUCUUUCGCCAAAAAAAAAACAUCCCCUAAAUAAAUCUCUUAAACAUGAAGAGGCUGCAUACCUGGGUGGAUACGCCUGCCUCCCUAUCAAGGGUAGCAUCGAGCACACAUGUCCCCCAAGGAGGUGUCGCCGGACACGUCAAGGCUCAUAACGCUCAUGUGCCUCGCGGCCUCGCCCUGUAUUCCAGUUGAUAUGCAGUGCGAGAAAAAAAAAACUCUAGACUAUCUAUCCUUUCCAAUAAUCAUAGCGAUACAGUACAGUUCAUUUUCAUCCCUCAAAGAGUACAUUUCAUCCCUCUGGACUGUCUGAGCAUGGUAAUCUCAAAAAAAGAAUUAUCUGAGCAUGGUGUAAUUGUUAUUCGCGCUCAAAUUGAAGGGGGUGUGAAGGCUGUCACAACGAACGGAACACUCACUAUCAAAUUGAUAGAGUUCUUCUAGUAUUUUUAAUUAGUAAUAAAAUACUACCAUUAGUCAUAAUACUAGAAAAUCCUCACUAGGAGACAUUUACUAGAAAAAAUUUGUACUAAAUUUUGAAUGCUAAAACACUAGAAGAAGCCCACAUUAAAAAAUUUAGUUGUGACUCACCCUACAACACGUGCAAGCCAUCUAUUCCCUUAGAGCAACUCCAAGAUCUCUUAGCUAAGAUUAGUAGUCAAAUUUCAUUGCCCUUUUAUAAAAUAGAAAUUUCUUAAAAAAAAAGAAGUCCACAACAACCUUGCUAUUUUAUAAAAUUAGAUAGCCAGUGCCAGUGGUUGGCUAUAUAUCGGACACCGGAAAUUAAGGAAUAACCAACUUUCUAUUUUACAAAACCAGAUAGCACAUCUCUUGGAGCCUACUUUUUACUAUGCAAAUUUUUAAAUAACAUUCACAAUAAGAAUAGCCAAGCUCCUAGAGUUGCUCUUAGCUCUGUUUUCUUUUGGUUCGGGGUAGGAGAAAAGUAGAAAUACUUGUAAACUAGGAAAAAAACUCUCGUGUUCUUGUACCUCAAUAUUAUUAUCGUCCUAGCGUUUGGUAAACUCAGGUGGUUGUCUCCUAUUUGUUGUAAUCUUGCGAGAGCAUCUCCAAGAAUACCCAAUAAUCCUUGUCAAUCCUUGAUUUCUCAGAAGAAUGAAAAAAAUGAUCUCCAACAACUCUCAAACUCAUCUCCCAAUCUUUUGACACUCGGAAAAACUCCUUUAUGCGUAAAGAUACAUGGAUCCCAAUAGUAUCUAUAUUGUUCCCCCGCGCGUUGUAUACAUAGGUCAAUCUAAAGGUGAAAGAGUGUGGGAAAGAAUAAAGACUAAAAAAGUUUCUGAUGUAAAUAUACAAAGAGAAAAAAGAUAUAUAUAAUUGGUUAGAAAUAGUAUAGGAUUCCUGUUGUAAAAUUGUCUUCUAAUGAAUUAUUGGAAACUGUUAGAGAUGAUCUUAUUUAUUUCUCUGAUUACUUUUUGGUAAGUUGGAAAACAUCAUCAUUUUAGGAAAAAUUAUUGGGUUCUUUUGGAGAUGAUGCUCUACUAGCUCACCGAUGAUUGAAUCAACAAUGAACGUGUUGCUUUUUGAAAGUGCGCCUUGAAUUGAAGAGUUUGUGGCGUACAAAUUCACAUGUGACAAUAGUAUUUUUUAGGGGUAGGUUGUGAUAGCAUUGAUAAAACUUUCACUAGUUUUUGAAUCGGACGCUGAUGUUAGUAAUUGGCUUGUUUUAAUGUUUUAUGCCUUGCGCAUUGGAUGGCGUUAUUUGAACGGAGGACGGGAUGAGGACCAAUUUAGCUUUUACCCUAGAGCCAAUUCCGUGUAGACCAUUAUAAAAGAUACAACUUCCUUGCAUGACACCGGUUGACCACCAGUUCACAAAUGUCAUCAGGGUAAAAUGUCCCUACUACUACUUGAAUGGACGUGGACUACUGCAAAAUUUUGCUGAUCCACCACGGCAUGAUACAUUAAGAUGAGCAGUGUGCCUAACUAACCUCCUUUCUCACAAGCAUGGGGUUAAGUCCUUGCAAGGAAGCAGAUAUAAGUGGACUUUGUUUGUAUAUCACAAGAAAAUAAAAUGUCAGUCAUGAUUAUAGAGUGCACAGAAAUAUCAGGUAUGUGUUAUGUGAUUUUUGGUAUUUUCUUAAGGUGGAUAAAAAACAAUACAUGUUGCGUGAAAUAUCUUUUUACAUGAAUUGUGGCAGUGAAAAGUUUAAUUUAUUCCAACACUGUUUAGCUUGAAAAUACAACAUCAUAUACAAAGAAUGAACAGAGCUUGAUUAUGAAUAGGGGUAAAGAGAUUAUGACCAGCAUGCAGAAAUCUGUAGUUGUCAAACAAUUCAAAGCAGUGCAAAACUCUUAUCCUAAUUCUCAAUCAAGUGGCCAGAAAGUCUAGAACGAAUGCAUUCAAAAUAAAUAUUUAUGCAUAGAGAAAGGGGCAAUCCUUUGGGGCUAGGAUUCCUGAAAAGUUCAUUGAUCUUCUCCUAUUCUUGGCAUCAUUGUCAGAACAUGAACCACAAUUUUGCCCUUUUGUUCUCUGGCUUUUCCUAUGACUGCAAUCACCCAAAUAUGCUCUUAUUGAUCCAUAUAUUGAGAUCAAAACAAAGACUGCUUUAAUUAAACAAAAAACAAACAACCAUGCUAUGAAAGGGUUUGAGAUGAUGCCUCAUACAGCCUGCUUAAAAUUGGGCAUUAAUGUAUGUGUAGUACAACCCAAAAUCCCAAAUCGUGUAGCUAUGAUAGUGAAUCUGAUGCAGCAGUGCAGACUCCAGCAUUGAUAAGCCGAAACUAUGUUCAUCGGAAUUCAGGAAGCUCCUGAAUAAUAUGUUACACCAGUUUCAGUUUGACUAUUCAAUAAGAAAAUUACACAAAAUACUUGGCACAUAACCAUCAAAUUAGAUUGGUGAUAAAGGAAAGAACACUUCUCAUUCUUGAAAGCAAAACAACAAUAUCUCUUAAUAAACCACUAUCAAUGAAGAUAUUGGAGUCUGGGAAGUUGAGAAAAUGUGGAUUAGUUCUGAGAUAGACCUUAGGCUUUUGUUCAGUAAAUCAGUAGUUUUUGGCAAAGAUUUUUUUUUUCUUCAGAACUCAGUCACAACCUGCAGUAAAAAAAGGGGGUAAUAGAACAUUAAAUGGGCCAAAUUAGAUGAAGAUACUAAAGUGAAUGGAGAACUACUAAACCUUAGGCAAUGUCACAAACACAAAUGGCAUGGAAGAUUACAAGCAAGAUCUGAUUAUCCACCAACAGGUCAUGCUUGAAUCACUUUGGAUUACCCCCACUCCAGCCACCCCUCGGGAUAGGGAAAGACAGUGGCCAGAGAGCUGUUCUAUGCCAGUAACUUCUUGAAACAUUGGCAAGGUAUUCCAAAAUCAGAAUAACACAGGACUGAGCAGAAACAAGCAGAACAAAAUUUAGACAGAUGAAAAAAAACUAUAUGUUAAAGAGUUAAAAAGGCUGACAUGCUUUCUUGUCUUUAGACACUGAAUUGUAGUCGGUAAAGUUUUGAAAAAUUAAUGAAUAAGAAAGCAAACAAAAUUGCAAUUACAAAUAAUUAUGUAUGACGAAUAUUCAUAAACAACAAAAUGUAAUACUAAAAGACACGUUUUCUACAAAAUAACACUUGAUUACCAUUUCAGUUCUUUUAUUUUCUAUUCCUUAGCCAUUCCGAUUUCCACAGAAUACUUUUUAUUUACAGCUAGUGAAACUCAAGAAACUUUAACAUGUUACUGUGCUAGAAUUGCAUUCUCUUGUGAUGAGAACAUAUUACACCUCCAUGAACUUCCAGCGCCACUAAUCCAGUCCUGCCUUGCCAACAAAAGAAAUUAUAGUACUUCUACAAUGACAUAUCGCUAUUGAGGGAACACAUGCACCGCAACAGUCGAGAUCAAGAACAUCGAUGACAAACUGGUAUGAAGGGGAUGACAGACCCCAUGGAGUUGAUCUGACGUGAGUAUGGCAGAGGAGGCAGCCUCCUCCUCCCUCACAGCUGUAACUGAAACAUGUGAACAUGCACAAAGCAAAAGCACAAUGAGAGCAAUGGGAGAAUAAUGACCAUGUAGAAGAGGAAACAACGAAAUGAAGCAACUCGUACGCCCAUUUUGUCAACAAGAACCAAGGGAAAGUGAUUAGUGCGGAAACAAUGUAAGAUACAGCAGCAACACAAGAUGAAGAGCAGGCAUUUAAUUCCAAAUGUCAUUGCAACCUUAAAAAAAAAUCCCAACAAAAUGGAAUUUCAGUUUGUAUACACGUUACCAAAUCCAAACUUGUAAGGAACAGAAUAUCAAUCCUUCUAGUAUAGUCGGCGUGAUCAAUAAAAUAUUUAUGCACAAAACACUUACUUUGUUGAUGGAGCACUGGAUAACUCAACCGUUUGAAAGCCAAGAUGAUUAACAAGACGGGCUAAUUAAUUAAUGAGAAUUGAAAGGUGCCAAUAAAAUUGACAGGCAUGAAACAAAUCAAACAGAACAGCUUGUGGCAAAAGCAGGUACUGGUGUAUGUAAAGACCAUAAGAGAGAUUAGGAAUCUCGACGAGUGAGCAACAAUUGUGAUUCACUAGCACAGGAGACAUCCAUCAAUGUUUCUAUACGAUAGCAAAAGUAGCAUUAGCAGUAGUAUGCAAGGUGCGAUGAUAAGUACCAGGAUGGUGAUUAACAUUAAGAAAACCAGUAGCAAAUAACAAGGUUCAAACGGAUUACACCGAAUUUAUACAUAAUAACUUAGGGUAGAUGGUUAACGCAAAGGGAAACGACAGAGCUCCAACUAGACUUAAGAGUAGGCUGCAUCUCGCGCGCGCACACAAAAGGUGUUUGAUUCCCGACUUUAGUAGUUCUCCACCUCCACCACAUCGUCUCCUUCGUCGUCAGUGACCUCGGCCUCCGAUUCGUCCACCGCGUAGCCAAAUUUUUCUUGCUGGUCGAUGAGGGCCUCCAGGUAGGCAAGCCUUGUGUCCCUGAGAAGGAUAUCUAGGCGGUAGCUGCGUUGGAAACUCUCUGAAUACUUGGCCAGCUGGUCUUCAGUGAGGUUCCUGGACGGGCAGGGAUGUGUGGCCAUUGCCCUGGUAAAGUCGAUCUGCGCCUUCGUUAUCGUCGUCAACUUCUUGACCAGCACCUUCUUCGUCUUCUUCCCGGCCGGCUGGGCCGCCGUCACCGUGGGAACCACGGUAGGGGGGUCCAGUGUCGCCUCGCUCGCCGCCUUGUACUCCUUCUUGAGCUUCAGGAUCUUUCCCUCCUCUGACUUGACCUUCAUCAGGAUCUUACGAUCCUCCUCCGACUCCAGCUUCAGGAUCCUGAAGACCUCCUCCUCCGACGCCGCCAUCUUAUCACCCUCCUCCGACGACGCCAUCUUAGCCUUCUUAGCCUCCGACUUCAUGCUGCGGGUACGGCGACGGGUCCCCUCCUCUGGCGAAGCCUUCUCAGCCUCCGACUUCAUGCUGCGGGUACGGGGGCGAAGGGACCCCUCCUCCGACGAAGCCUUCUUAGCCUCCGCCGCCUCCGACUUCAUGCGGCGGCUACGGGACCCCUCCUCCGACGAUCGCCCCAUUGCACGCGACCGAACCCUAACCUCCCAGGAUUGUGACGAUGCGGCGGCAGUUGGUUUUGGACACGGAAGAUGGAGAAUCCUGGGUUCCAUCGGAUGCGAAUAGGCCAGGCCUGAACCGCAAGUCCGCAAGCC